rnacentral:rRNA from 1 species
UACGAAGGGGGCUAGCGUUGCUCGGAAUCACUGGGCGUAAGGCGCACGUAGGCGGCUUUUUAAGUCAGGGGUGAAAUCCUGGAGCUCAACUCCAGAACUGCCUUUGAUACUGAGAGCUUGAGUCCGGGAGAGGUGAGUGGAACUGCGAGUGUAGAGGUGAAAUUCGUAGAUAUUCGCAAGAACACCAGUGGCGAAGGCGGCUCACUGGCCCGGUACUGACGCUGAGGUGCGAAAGCGUGGGGGAGCAAACAGGG